GCGGGGAUAGCUCAGUUGGGAGAGCGUCAGACUGAAGAUAUAUCUGUUAUCUGAAGGUCGCGUGUCGAUCCACGCUCACCGCA
rfam:Gossypium hirsutum cultivar TM-1 chromosome 26, whole genome shotgun sequence